rnacentral:rRNA from 1 species
ACGCUGGCGGCAGGCUUAACACAUGCAAGUCGAACGGUAACAGGGAUUAGCUUGCUAAUUUGCUGACGAGUGGCGGACGGGUGAGUAAUGCUUGGGAAUCUGGCUUAUGGAGGGGGAUAACUACGGGAAACUGUAGCUAAUACCGCGUAAAAUCUUCGGAUUAAAGGGUGGGACUUUCGAGCCACCUGCCAUAAGAUGAGCCCAAGUGGGAUUAGGUAGUUGGUUAGGUAAAGGCUGACCAAGCCGACGAUCUCUAGCUGGUCUGAGAGGAUGACCAGCCACACUGGAACUGAGACACGGUCCAGACUCCUACGGGAGGCAGCAGUGGGGAAUAUUGCACAAUGGGGGGAACCCUGAUGCAGCCAUGCCGCGUGAAUGAAGAAGGCCUUCGGGUUGUAAAGUUCUUUCGGUGACGAGGAAGGUUGAUAGGUUAAUAGCCUAUCAAAUUGACGUUAAUCACAGAAGAAGCACCGGCUAACUCCGUGCCAGCAGCCGCGGUAAUACGGGGGGUGCGAGCGUUAAUCGGAAUAACUGGGCGUAAAGGGCACGCAGGCGGUGACUUAAGUGAGAUGUGAAAGCCCCGAGCUUAACUUGGGAAUUGCAUAUCAUACUGGGUCGCUAGAGUACUUUAGGGAGGGGUAGAAUUCCACGUGUAGCGGUGAAAUGCGUAGAGAUGUGGAGGAAUACCGAAGGCGAAGGCAGCCCCUUGGGAAUGUACUGACGCUCAUGUCCGAAAGCGUGGGGAGCAAACAGGAUUAGAUACCCUGGUAGUCCACGCUGUAAACGAUGUCGAUUUGGGGAUUGGGCUUUGAGCUUGGUGCCCGUAGCUAACGUGAUAAAUCGACCGCCUGGGGAGUACGGCCGCAAGGUUAAAACUCAAAUGAAUUGACGGGGGCCCGCAC